UACGUAGGGUGCGAGCGUUAAUCGGAAUUACUGGGCGUAAAGCGUGCGCAGGCGGUUGGUUAAGUCUGAUGUGAAAGCCCCGGGCUCAACCUGGGAGUGGCAUUGGAAACUGGCUGGCUAGAGUGUGGCAGAGGGGGGUGGAAUUCCGCGUGUAGCAGUGAAAUGCGUAGAGAUGCGGAGGAACACCGAUGGCGAAGGCAGCCCCCUGGGCUAGCACUGACGCUCAGGCACGAAAGCGUGGGGAGCAAACAGG
rnacentral:rRNA from 1 species